GAUUUUAAGUUUCCUGAGACCUUCCAGCCAUGCUGAACUGGGCACUGCACAGGCUCAUGACCGUCAUACGCCCAGUCUGGCCCCAUGGUGUGCCUGAGCAGAGGACUGUUAGCAGCGGGACCCAGGAGGCAGGACAACCUGCCAGAGAGGCUGAAGGAGGUUCUCUCGCGCUGGAUUCUCGACAAGAAAAAGGAAGAGGGUCUCCCCUGCUUCCCUCGCCCACAACAGCUGAUCUUCCAGAGGUCGGCCGUUUCGUUCCUUGUCUUCAGAAUCUGGUGGAGUUGGAGGCAGACACCUGAGGUCAGGAAGGGAAGAGCCCAGGCCGACUAAAACAAUUCCCGUGCUCGCUGGAGAAUCAGCAGGUGCAUUUGCGUCUUAAAAACACCUUCAGUGGCACCAGCUUCCCCCCACGGCACCGGUUCUCGUCACUCUCCGAGGCUGCCCUCACCUUCGCAGGCCGUGAAUUGUUAAGAGAAUUUAGCCACAAACCAGGCAAGAAUCUUUCCCACGUGUCAGCAGCCAGAAGGCUUUGUAGAUAAUAUUCUUCUUUAAAAUUCAGUAAUUAUGUAUCUAGUUGCUACCAACCAGAGAGAAAAAUAUGCAUAUUAAAAAGUCCAUAAUUACAUAAUAAGCACUUACUGUCAAUUGCAUUCUGCUGCCGUGUACUCUCUGUCCCCUUUAUCUUAAAAAAAUUCAAAAACAAUUACCACAAACACUAAAAUAAAUCAAGCACCAAGUGUCAGGUUAAUGCAAAAUUAGGGGUUUACUUUGAGCACAUAGAUAAGUUUUAAUUCAGAUGCCAUCAGUUCUAACCACAUGGGAUCUGUGGCCCUGCCAGGAUCACUGGAGAGCUGGAAGUACCUUGGAAGGGCUGAAUGGCAAAGGACUCAGGAGGACACCCGAGGAAUCACUUGCUUGGAUUGGAAGCUGCCAGAGUGUCAGCCACAUGUCAUGCAUGACCACCGCAUGGGACAGUGCAGCUCUGAGCAGUCGUGAAGCCAAUGACCUGGAUCUCAGCUAAUGCUGCAGAAGGAGAAUAAGAAAAAGAAAAAGAAAAGAAAGAACACAGGUUCCUCCACCAUUGCCAGCUGGCUGAGCUUCAAUCUUAAUGGACCAAGUGCGUAUUGAGUAACAUGUCUGGAAACAUAAGGCGUGUGCUCUCAGGGAGCUUACACUCUAGCAGGGAGGACCCAGGUGUGAAAAUGGAAGGUCUCACAAACAGGAUGCAGUGAGCCAGGUGCCUGCCCACCAGACAGCCCGGUCACACAGGGUCUUGCGAGGAGACCCCACACCACAUGCGCUUGAUGCUUCCCUUCUCACACCUGCUCUGUCCUCCGUGAAGUUCUAGAUCUGCACCUUCCGGGGCGGAGAACGGUGACUUCCCCUGAACGCUGCUCUGACCACCACAAGCCCUGCCUUGAUGGGUCCCAACCCAGGCAGUGCUGGGACACAGAGUCCAUCCAGCCGUGAGCAGACCCAGCACUGACCGGGGGAGCUGAUGCUGCUUUCGAGAAAUUUGCUUCCCUGACAGUGUGGCCUUGUUCACUCUGACUGUGCUGGCUCUGUCCCUCUGGGCUCCUCCCGACAGGGUGAGGACACAAAAGGUAGGGCGAGGGUGGGCAGCAGGGUGAGGAUAUGUGAGGUAGGGCGAGGGUAGACACACCCUUCCUGCUCCUGCUCGGCAGCGUCCAGACCACAAAGGUCUCCCUCCCUUCCUCCCUCUGCCCUCCCUCCUUCCUUCUGUACCUCUAUGAAUUGAGGGGAAGGAGACUGUGGCACAGCACUGGAUUCGACUCUGGGCCCCAUGACCCACCAAGGGUUCUGCCAACUCGGGCAAUAGGAAAGCUAUUGAUUCAUUUCUGCUUCUGUAAAACAGGAGAGGACCUGUCUUAUAGGGUGACCAGGAGGUUUAAAUAGUAGAAGAAAUGGAAACCACGCAGAACAGGGCCAGCGACAGCAGGUGCUGUGUCACUAUCAGCGGCUGUCAGGAUGACGUCUCCACGUCUCUGGUUCUUCAUCUAGAACAUGGGAUCUUACGGGGGGUUGCUCUGCAUGUUACAGGAGGGUGUGCGUUGGUGGCUGCGGCAGGAUCGUGGUCAAUACGCGUGCUCUCGUCACCCUCGGAGCCAUCUUGCCUUCGUGGUCUGCGUCUUCCACCCACCACACAGUGCAGCGGAAGCAAGGGGAGCCCUGGACGGAUGGUGGAGGUGCUGGUGUGCAGCCACUGUUCCAGGACAUGGGCCACUGGAGUGCCAGGGAAGAGGAAGAGGAGACACCCGCCAGGACAGUGAAGGGACAGUGAGUAGGGAGGAGCAGUCCUGAGGAAGCAAGGGGGCAAGAGUGCAGCAGCCAGUGAGGUCAGGGGAUGCAGGGGAUGGGAGACGGGGCCUGGAGCGUGGCUCUCUGUCGCCCGGGAUGGUCAGUGGCUGGAGAGUUUUACUGGCAAUGUGGAUGCCGAGACCGGGCUGUGAGGGCUGCAGAGGAGUGGAAGCAAGAAGCACAGGAUGGCUUUCCAGGCACUGGGGAAUUGGGGAAGGGAGGAGGACAGAGGGAGGCAGAUGGCAGAGUGUCUGUCGCCUAAAGAGGGGUGCAGAGAAGGAGAGCGGUGCGGUCUUACUCUGAUUUGGUUUUGAGGUUUUCACAUUGAUGUCUCUCAAAACGGGAAGAGCUUUGCGGCAGGACAUUUGAUUGACAUUCAGAGGCGGAGCCCAUAGAGCCUGGGGGCUCAGACGCAAAUGUCUGCAGCUCAUGUCUGUGUGCAGGAGACAUCUAGGCUGGUGCCCAGAUCCAUCGGCCCUUGUCUCCAGCCCCGCAAGCCACUGGCAAGCCAGGCCAACCUCUAGGGGGUGGAAGCACGCCACUGGCUGGAGUACUCAGCAGACAUUUGCCCUGGAGAUGAGGUGGGUGCAUGAGGUGCCCUGUGGACCUCACAGAGUCCUCCGCUUCAGGCAGGCUGGGCUGCUCCUGCCAGAGGUGAGCCUGGAGUCAGGAGGAUGUGCCCCGUGGGGUCCCUUCCCAGGAAACCUCAGCGGCAUGAGAGUCUUCUUAGCUGUGAACACAAAGACAGGGCGUCCAGCGUGCUCCCCAAGAACCACCACCGGUAAUCACCACCCAGGAGAAGAGCUGCCCUCAGAGAACCCCUAACUGAGCUGCAGUUGGCUCCUCUGUCAGAUGGGAGGGGGCAGCAGCUGCCUGGCUGGUCUUCAGUUCACAGCUCAAGCGGGGGCAGCACGGAAGCUGCGGUGUCGCUGUCGGGGGUUAUUCCUCCCCUGGACCUGCCCAAGCCUCUUCUACUGCCGAGCACUUUGCACUUUGCUGUAAACCAGCAGCCAACGGGUGCUGGGAAUUUAAAAGGUAAAUAAAAUGUGUAUUUCUUA